GGGCUCGUAGCCUAGUCUGGAAGGGCACUUCGCUUCGGACGAAGAGGUCGGGGGUUCGAAUCCCUCCGAGCCCG
rnacentral:tRNA from 1 species